rnacentral:misc_RNA from 1 species
CCGAGUGAGGGUCCUCGUGGCCCAACCUCCCACCCGUGACUACUGUACCACUGUUGCUUCGGCGGGCCCGCCAGCGUCCGCUGGCCGCCGGGGGGCUUCUGCCCCCGGGCCCGUGCCCGCCGGAGACCCCAACACGAACACUGUUUCUGAAAGCCUGUAUGAAUCCGAUUCUUUGUAAUCAGUUA